rnacentral:misc_RNA from 1 species
GAUGAAGAACGUAGCGAAAUGCGAUACGUAAUGUGAAUUGCAGAAUUCAGUGAAUCAUCGAAUCUUUGAACGCAUAUUGCGCUCUCUGGUAUUCCGGAGAGCAUGCUUGUUUGAGUAUCAGUAAACACCUCAACUUCCAUAUCUUUUUUGAAAUGGGAGUUGGACUUGAGUGAUCCCAACGCUUUUCCUCACCGAAAAGUGGCGGGUUACUUGAAAUGCAGGUGCAGCUGGACUUUUCUCUGAGCUAUAAGCAUAUCUAUUUAGUCUGCCUAAAAAACAGAUUAUUACCUUUGCUGCAGCUAACAUAAAGGAGAUUAGUUCUUGUGCUGACUGAUACAGGAUUCACAAAGACGGCUUCGGCCGACUUUGUAAACUCGAUCUCAAAUCAAGUAAGACUACCCGCUGAACUUAAGCAUAUCAAUAAGCGGAGGA